UUAUAUUCUGUAGCAAGGUUAACCGAAUAGGGGAGCCGGAGGGAAACCGAGUCUUAACCGGGCGUUAAGUUGCAGGGUAUAGACCCGAAACCCGGUGAUCUAGCCAUGGGCAGGUUGAAGGUUGGGUAACACUAACUGGAGGACCGAACCGACUAAUGUUGAAAAAUUAGCGGAUGACCUGUGGCUGGGGGUGAAAGGCCAAUCAAACCGGGAGAUAGCUGGUUCUCCCCGAAAGCUAUUUAGGUAGCGCCUCGUGAAUUCAUCUCCGGGGGUAGAGCACUGUUUCGGCUAGGGGGCCAUCCCGGCUUACCAACCCGAUGCAAACUGCGAAUACCGGAGAAUGUUAUCACGGGAGACACACGGCGGGUGCUAACGUCCGUCGUGAAGAGGGAAACAACCCAGACCGCCAGCUAAGGUCCCAAAGUCAUGGUUAAGUGGGAAACGAUGUGGGAAGGCCCAGACAGCCAGGAUGUUGGCUUAGAAGCAGCCAUCAUUUAAAGAAAGCGUAAUAGCUCACUGGUCGAGUCGGCCUGCGCGGAAGAUGUAACGGGGCUAAACCAU
rnacentral:rRNA from 1 species